UGAUCCCACCACUGGGGAGACCGAUGAUGAAGGCUAUGAGGAUGAGUAUGUGCUGGAAGAUCUGGAAGUUACUGUAGCUGAUCACAUUCAAAAGGUCAUGAGACUGAACUUCGAAGCAGCCUGGGAUGAGGUAGGGGAUGAAUUUGAGAAGGAGGAAACGUUCACCUUGUCUACCAUCAAGACACUUGAAGGUAAAAUCCUGGGAAUGCCAUCUCUGGCCUACUUGCUGUUCAAGAUCUUUGGCUACUGUUGAAGUGCUCAUCCCUUUUCUCUCCAAGGAUCCAGGGCCAUGUCUGGAGCACAUAUGUCAAACGCCACUUCAUUAAAAGCCCUUCAGAACAUGGGGGAGUGGUGGUGGCACAAAGGGCAGACAAGAUGGCUUAACAAUAUUGGGAUUU
rnacentral:sRNA from 1 species